UAAACUCUGUUUCUAUAUGUAACUUCUGAGUAAAACCAUAAAUAAAUCAAAACUUUCAACAACGGAUCUCUUGGUUCUGGCAUCGAUGAAGAACGCAGCAAAAUGCGAUAAGUAAUGUGAAUUGCAGAAUUCAGUGAAUCAUCGAAUCUUUGAACGCACAUUGCGCCCGCCAGUAUUCUGGCGGGCAUGCCUGUUCGAGCGUCAUUUCAACCCUCAAGCCCCCGGGUUUGGUGUUGGGGAUCGGCGAGCCCUCGCGGCAAGCCGGCCCCGAAAUCUAGUGGCGGUCUCGCUGCAGCUUCCAUUGCGUAGUAGUAAAACCCUCGCAACUGGUACGCGGCGCGGCCAAGCCGUUAAACCCCCAACUUCUGAAUGUUGACCUCGGAUCAGGUAGGAAUACCCGCUGAACUUAAGCAUAUCAAUAAG
rnacentral:rRNA from 1 species